UACCCCUGAUGGUUAUGUAAUUCGGUAAAAACACUUGAGAAUAGGCAAAACAAAUUUUAAGUAAACAGAACUUAUGUUGAACAAUAAUAAGCAACAGACAUGAACACCUUUCCCAUUCCAGCCUCACAUCAAAACCCAGCAUCAUACAGCUCGUAGAGUGCUUUCUCCUGGUUAUUAAAUUAAAAACCAUCUUCUUGCAGUAAACACCUGGGAAAGACAUUUCUUGUGGAUUUGUAAAAUUUGCUUGUCUUCAAGAAAUGACCCCUUUAAGGAAGAUUUUUCCUCUUGGCUCACAGAUGGAUCCUUGUUUGCUACUUGUGGUAGAAGGAAGUUUCUAGUAAAAGCCUGCUGGCUUUGCAGUUUAGUUUCUCAACUGCUUCUGAGUAUGGAGGAUUAAAUAUAUUACACAAACUGUUUUACAUUUGUCUCCAUCCUUUAUCGUGAGCUUUCAUAUCACCAGUGGCAGGUCGGCGGCUGCUAUUGCAUUGGACACAGCAGGCGUUGUUUCCAUUAGAGAGCGUGAGGCGGUUCUCCUCUCUGAGGGAAAAGCGUGUCUAUUUCCAGGUGCCGGGCCCCACGUGUGGACAGUCUUGUUAUGUUUCUGUGAUGAGUCACAGAGGAUGUUACAGGUGGUGCAGAGUGACGCUUCAAAGACUGAACAAAGUACUGAUGGAGCUGAGGUCUAGGAUGAAAGUAACGAAGUGACUGGAACGAAUAGGAAAUAUUUUGUUCCUCUGAACGUCAGCUUCAGUAUCAUGAAAAAACAUUUGUCAAGCCCCCAAUUGCCAGACUGCUGCACUCAGAACUCCAUAAAGAGAACUUCCCUGCCAAGGGAGCACUCCCCAGGCAACAGGCCCUGAGAGCAUUACCAGAGUCGAGAGUCACCUCAACUAUCGGUGGUCGAGGACAGAUGCUUCCAGCACCUGAUGGCUGAGAGCUCCACUGGGCGCCCAGGGAUCCAUGUGCCCAGGGAGGCCCGGCUCCAGGCACCUGGAAAGCUUGAAAGUUCAUUCUCGGCUGGGACCACACCAUCACGGGUUCCUGUGCAGCCACAUGGCCCACGCUCCACAGCCAUCUAUCAAGCUCACUGACCGGACCAUCUUUGCCGAUACAUGCACAUGAGUUUGGGAAGGACAGAGGAGUGUGUGUGAGUGUGUGUGUGUGUGUGCGUGCACGCACAGAUUUUCAAAUGCCUUCCUCUGUACCUUGUUGGAUACCACAACCCCCUUGUCUGCUUUUAAUAUCACCAGUCCAUGCAUGUAACUUUACUGGCUUAAAAUUCACUUUUUAAAACCUGUCCCUGAUUAGUUCCAAUGUGCUAUAAUGACUUUUGUAUUCUUUUUCAAUUAUAAAUUUUGGUUAACACCACUUUUGAUAUUUUUAUUUCCUGCACUUUCUAUGGUAUAAUUUUUUAUCAUGUAAUAAGUAUGGAAUUUGUGCAGAUGACCUAAUCAGUUAUAUACCCAAUAAACACUAGGGAGUCAUCAGAGUGAACAAGUAAUUUUGUGAAAGCAAACCAUUAUCCAAGGAAUGAUAUGGAGUUGGACUGUAGCCCUCCAGGCUCCUCUGUCCAGGGGAUUCUCCUGGCAAGAACACUGGAGUGGUUUGCCAUGCCCUCCUCCAGGGGAUCUUCCUGACCCGGGGAUUGAACCCGUGUCUCUUACAUCUCCUUCACUGGCAGGCAAAUUCUUUACCGCUAGCACCACCUGGGAAGCCUGGAGUGGGAAAGACUAGUUCUGUCAGUCCUCUUUGGUUGCAGAUGUGUAAAAAGGGGUCUAGUAAUAUAGCACCUGCCUAGAAAAAGGUAUCAGUGGAGAUAUCACAAUGAUUUUGUAGAAAAAUAC